AUGAAAAUGAAAAAGUUCUCAGGUCACAAGCAGCUCAGAUUCCAGGGCGACAGAUGCUGAGCCCAUGUGGCAUCGCUUACAACGCUUCCCAGUCAGUGAGUCAACCCCCUGCCUGGGGCCGCCUCGGCGAUGGGGUUUACCAACAGUUUCUCCGAUUGUCCGUGGAGCCUAGGAGCGCUGGAAUCCAGCAUUUGGGAGAGGCUCGCGACGUGCUCCUUCGGCUUCCUCAGCCACAAAGUCGACCUGCCAGCGCCCGGAAAGAGUGAUUAUCAUUGUCCUGGAUUUCUGUGGUCAAAAACAGUCAGCAUCAGUAAAAGACGGCUAUAAAUGAUGUGGGAAAAAGCUCUGAUCAGAAGUGUUUGCCACAUUGGAUACACAACUUUGAAGCCAAGCAAAGAGGGCCCUUGCUUACCUUCUGCCACAGUGAGAAUUCAACUAGAUGAAUUCUAUAGGAUGAAAAUUGCAAGUAUUUGCAUGACUGGAUCCUAUAAUAUAUAUAAAAAAGAUAUUU
rnacentral:lncRNA from 1 species